rnacentral:rRNA from 1 species
GAUGAACGCUGGCGGCGUGCUUAACACAUGCAAGUCGAACGGAAAGGCCCAAGCUUGCUUGGGUACUCGAGUGGCGAACGGGUGAGUAACACGUGGGUGAUCUGCCCUGCACUUCGGGAUAAGCCUGGGGAACUGGGUCUAAUACCGGAUAGGACGAUGGUUUGGAUGCCAUUGUGGAAAGUUUUUUCGGUGUGGGAUGAGCUCGCGGCCUAUCAGCUUGUUGGUGGGGUAAUGGCCUACCAAGGCGUCGACGGGUAGCCGGCCUGAGAGGGUGUACGGCCACAUUGGGACUGAGAAACGGCCCAGACUCCUACGGGAGGCAGCAGUGGGGAAUAUUGCACAAUGGGCGCAAGCCUGAUGCAGCGACGCCGCGUGGGGGAUGACGGCCUUCGGGUUGUAAACUCCUUUCGCUAGGGACGAAGCGUUUUUGUGACGGUACCUGGAGAAGAAGCACCGGCUAACUACGUG